AUGAGUCACAUUGUCUCGCAAAUCGACACAUUACGUUUUGAUGUGUGCUAUCAACAAGAAUAAUGCUUUGUUGUUGUAGAUAACGGUUAUUCGUUACUUAAUUUAUCGGUCCCAUGACGAUGUUAAGAGGUGUCGGGUUAUUUAAUGAAAGGUGAAUGCAUUGCAACCAGCAGGUAAUACGGUAGUUAAUAAUGAGGCUGUUAAUUACAUGUUGAAAUCAGCCAGCCAUUUUCCAUGAUUGUCUUGCAACUAGAAUAUCAUCAACCAUUUGUCUGAAUACUAUAGUGAAAAUAAGUUAUCAAAAUUAAAUCAAUUUAAAUAAAAUUAAUUUUAAUAUAGCUGUUCUUUCUUUCAGUUGUAUUUUUUCUUUUUUCUACUUUCUUUUUACUGUGUUCUUGAUGAAACUUGCAAUAAAGUUUUUCAUCCAAUCGUUCGUGACGAGUUUCUUCUCACUGCGUCGCGUGCUGUGACGGACGUGGUCCGCAUGGGCGGAUCCAGAAUUUUUCAAACGGGGGAAAGGGCACACAACAGUCUCGAAAUAGUCGGCCGAACACUGAGCCGAUUGACGGGCGCUGGUGCGACGGGAAAGCGCAGCGACGGAUUGUUUUAAACGACAGUUAGCCGAGGAUGUAAAGUCGUCAAGUAGUACCACAGAGCGGAGAUGGAUUGUUCGCCGACGGACCACUAAACUAAUUCCUCCAUGGACGGACGAACGCAGUGUGUGCCUCUUUAGACAGCCCGAAUCAGUUCGUUUUAUCAAAGUUAUAUUUUAGCAAAAGAAUUUUUUAUGUCGGCUUGAAUCCAUGGCAACUGAAGACACUGUAAAUCAUUUGCAAUCGGAUGUACUGUCUGUUUAAAAAAACGGUUACCGGUACCAGUAGGGAUCAUUAAACUGUCAUUGACAUCAUUGUACCAAUAAUUCAAUAUUGAUACAGUCGUUAGUUGAAAUAUUAAACUCAAUCAAAUUAUA